UUUUGCAUGACUUUUUAGAACAAUUCAUGCUUUCCCACUUCGUUUUGAUUUCUUCGGAUGAGCAUGUUAUUAAGCAAAAGAACUGUUUCCAUUUUAACAACAAAUUCCCAGACCCGACCCUCCCCACAAAACAGCCUCUUCAGAGUCAGCGGUAGUCGUUGGCUCUGCCACUAAAACAGAUCUUUGAGUAGAGCUCUAGGCACAAGAAAAGAAAUGAAAGUUCUCAUUUGUGGUCCCAACUCCUCAUUGCUAAGUCCGUCCCUGGGUCUGAGCUAAAGCUAGGCCCCUGACUGAAAUGGAAGAGACUGUAGAGGCCCAUGCAUAGUUUGGCCAUUAAUGACAUCAUAUUUGUCAAAAAGUGUGGAAUUCAGAAUUUUUCAUUCAUAAAUUUAUCUUUGUUCUGUAACUCUCUCAGUAUAAAUAAAUUCUAAGUGUCCUAAGCACUUCGGCCAGUUUUAUGGUCCCUUUAGUUCUCAGCACAAUACAUUUAGAGGAUGCUAGGUCACGAGGUGAUGUCCUUUAUUUGGGUGAAGUAACCAUGCAGGCUUUUCUAAAAGGCACAUCUGUCAGUACUAAACCACCACUGAAGGAUCGAGUAGCUGCCACAGCUGGAAGCAGUGGAGAGAACAAGAAAGCCAAACCUGUUCCGUGGGUGGAAAAAUAUCGCCCAAAAUGUGUGGAUGAAGUCGCUUUCCAGGAAGAAGUGGUUGCAGUACUGAAAAAGUCUUUAGAAGGAGCUGAUCUCCCUAAUCUCUUGUUUUAUGGGCCACCUGGAACUGGAAAAACAUCCACUAUUCUGGCAGCAGCUAGAGAGCUUUUUGGGCCUGAGUUGUUUCGAUUGAGAGUUCUUGAAUUAAAUGCAUCUGAUGAACGUGGAAUACAGGUUGUUAGAGAAAAAGUGAAGAAUUUUGCUCAAUUAACUGUGUCAGGAAGUCGUUCAGAUGGGAAGCCAUGUCCACCUUUUAAGAUUGUGAUUCUGGAUGAAGCAGAUUCUAUGACCUCGGCUGCUCAGGCAGCUUUACGACGUACUAUGGAGAAGGAGUCUAAAACCACCCGAUUCUGUCUCAUCUGUAAUUAUGUCAGUCGAAUAAUUGAACCUCUGACCUCUAGAUGUUCUAAAUUCCGCUUCAAACCACUGUCAGAUAAAAUUCAACAGCAGCGAUUACUAGACAUUGCUGAUAAAGAACAUGUCAAAAUUAGCAAUGAGGGAAUAGCUUAUCUUGUUAAAGUGUCAGAAGGAGACUUAAGAAAAGCUAUUACAUUUCUUCAAAGUGCUACUCGAUUAACAGGUGGAAAGGAGAUCACAGAGAAGGUGAUCACAGACAUUGCUGGGGUAAUACCAGCUGAGACCAUCGAUGGACUAUUUGCUGCAUGUCAGAGUGGCUCUUUUGACAAACUAGAAGGUGUGGUAAAAGUAAAAUUUAAUAGAUGAGGGCCAUGCAGCCACUCAGCUUGUGAGUCAACUUCAUGAUGUGGUUGUAGAAAACGAUAACCUUUCCGACAAACAGAAAUCUAUCAUCACAGAAAAACUUGCUGAAGUAGACAAGUGCUUAGCGGAUGGUGCUGAUGAACAUCUACAACUGAUCAGCCUCUGUGCUACUGUGAUGCAGCAGUUAACUCAGAAUUGCUGAAAUGUUCGUAAGAUGUUUAAAACUUAAAUAAAAUAACCAAAACACCUUUAAA